AGAGAAGCUUGCUUCUCUUGAGAGCGGCGGACGGGUGAGUAAUGCCUAGGAAUCUGCCUGGUAGUGGGGGAUAACGUCCGGAAACGGACGCUAAUACCGCAUACGUCCUACGGGAGAAAGCAGGGGACCUUCGGGCCUUGCGCUAUCAGAUGAGCCUAGGUCGGAUUAGCUAGUUGGUGGGGUAAUGGCUCACCAAGGCGACGAUCCGUAACUGGUCUGAGAGGAUGAUCAGUCACACUGGAACUGAGACACGGUCCAGACUCCUACGGGAGGCAGCAGUGGGGAAUAUUGGACAAUGGGCGAAAGCCUGAUCCAGCCAUGCCGCGUGUGUGAAGAAGGUCUUCGGAUUGUAAAGCACUUUAAGUUGGGAGGAAGGGCACUAAAUUAAUACUUUGCUGUUUUGAC
rnacentral:rRNA from 1 species